GUAAAAUUUAUAUAAGUGAAGCUCUAACAGUUAUACUUUCCGUAUUUUGAUAGUAGGUUAAUUUGUAAACAAGGAAGAGAAGCCUUAUCUAACUAUUCGGCGAACAUACUCCCCAUGGUGGGAGAUUUAGACAAGAAAAUUUACAAAGGACGCCGUAAGAUUGUAACAAGAAAGUAUGUACAACUUUAUAUAUAGCAAGUUUUUUUUAUGUAUAAUGCAAGAUAUCUAUUAUUGUAUUAUAUUUUAAUUUACUAAUAAACUUUUUUUUAAAAAAAAGAGAACUUUUGGAUUCUUUUAAACAAUGCAAGGGAUUUCUAUGCAAAUCAGCA